GCCGAAGUGGUGGAAUUGGUAGACACGCAGCGUUCAGGGCGCUGUGGGAUUCGUCCCGUGGAGGUUCAAGUCCUCUCUUCGGCACCA
rnacentral:tRNA from 1 species